rfam:Colinus virginianus strain Texas jcf7180006227264, whole genome shotgun sequence.
GGUAUGGAGUCUUGUGGCAUCCACGAAACUACCUUCAACUCAAUCAUGAAGUGUGACGUGGAUAUCCGUAAGGACCUGUAUGCC